AUGAAGCUCAGUUUACUAUGCAGUGCAGCAUUGUGCUUCCUGCAAGCAGGUCCAGUAAGUGCUGGCAUCAGUCAGACUCCCAGCUGGAUGAUCCUGAAGACAGGGCAACUUGUGUCAGUGAACUGUACUCAGCACUUGAAACAUGACUGCAUGUUCUGGUACCGACAGGAUCCAGGGCUGGGACUGAGGCUAAUCUACUACUCGUACGAUGUCAGCAACACUGAAAAAGGAGAUGUCUCUGAGGGGUACAGUGUCUCCAGAUCAAACGCAGAGGACUUCUCCCUCACUCUGGAGUCAGCCACCCACUCCCAGACAUCUGUGUACUUCUGUGCCAGCAGCUAUACCACAGAGCUGUGUUCCUGCCUCUUCUCUGUACAUAAAGAUACAGGCAGAGAAGAGGCACUACCCCCACCUGGAAUUCAAUGA